rnacentral:rRNA from 1 species
GAUGAACGCUGACAGAAUGCUUAACACAUGCAAGUCAACUGUGGCGGACGGGUGAGUAACGCGUAAAGAACUUGCCUCACAGUUAGGGACAACAUUUGGAAACGAAUGCUAAUAACUGAUACUGUGAGAGAGCUUUUCGUCCCAUUAGCUAGUUGGAGAGGUAACGGCUAACCAAGGCGAUGAUGGGUAGCCGGCCUGAGAGGGUGAUCGGCCACAAGGGGAAGGAGACAAGGCCCUUACUACUACGGGAGGCAGCAGUGGGGAAUAUUGGACAAUGGACCAAAGGCUGAUCCGGCAAUUCUGUGUGCACGAUGAAGUUUUCGGAAUGUAAAGUGCUUUCAGUUGGGAAGCGGUACCAACAGAAGAAGUGACGGCUAAAUACGUGCCAGCCGCCGCGGUAAUAC